rnacentral:lncRNA from 1 species
UGCUAUUAUUUCUUUUUAUCUAAUCCUUGAUCUCUGGUCUAUCAUGAAUUCAAACAUGUCUAUCUAUGAAUUUCAUAGACCUACGGGCACACAUCUCGAACCACCAAAAUCUUCAAAGCCUAUCAUUGUCGACGAAAGCUAGUCGGCAGUCUACCUUGGGGUAUACCCACGGUAGUAGUUUAUCGGUAGACGGUGCGCAAACUACGAACUUGAUGGUGACGCAAGACACGGACAAGCUUUUUAUCCAGGUUCGGCCGCCGAGUUGGCGUAAUACCUACGUCCUGCGUCUGGUUGUAUUGGAUUGUGUUGAGAGAUAAUGAUGUAUAUGACUUGUCCUCUAGGGGACCCCUGCCCCUCCUUAUAUAUCCUGAAGGGACAGAGUUACAAGCAAAGUAUCCUAUUUGGUACAAAAUCUUGUAGCCUUGCGGUGCACGCCGACCAGUCGUGCGCCGCACGUCUUCAUCUUGUGGGCCGAGCCACCUCUGAUGGUGCGGCCCAUAUAGGCCCAUGAGGGUAUAGGGGUUUAUACCCCCACAUCUAGUCCCCGAGCACCAUGUAUUAUGAUGUGACACGCCGUCUUGAGCUUCUUCGAUCAGUGAGGCUUGACGUCUUCAAUAAGUAGGAAAGUCGCCCAAAUAGUUGCAACGGUAUUCUGACCAACUCAAAAGACAGUUGAUCAACAUUGACAUCGAAGAAGCAGGUUGUUCGAAGAAUGCAUGGUGCUCUUAAUCAAAAAAGAUUUCUUUCCUGGUGAAGUGUGCCCACUUUACUUUUCUGAAAAGUAUAGUCUUUCAAAAAGCAAGCAUAUUCACCGCAAGGUGAAGUGUGCCCACUUAGUCCCCGAGCCUGGUAGUAGGUGACGUAGGCACGUGGUGCCAGGGUCAAAAGAAAAGUCCUCAAAGAAAUUCUGAAACUGAGAUGCAUCGCCAGAUGCAUCGUACCGAUGUAGUCCCCGAGCUUGCUGGAAGGCGAAGUAUGAGCCUUGUAGCAAGGUCUAAAAAAUUGAAUUUACCAGUCCCCGAGCAUAUCAUGCUCGUAUGCAAUUGAAUAGACUAAUCGACCAGUCCCCGAGCAUAGAACGCUCGGUGGUCGGUACAGUCCCCGAAUUCUCAAAUUGGUGGGCUGGUCGACCAGUCCCCGAGCGUAUAGUGCUCGGUGGUCGGUACAGUCCCCGAAUUCUCAAAUUGGUGGGCUGGUCGACCAGUCCCCGAGCGUAUAGUGCUCGGUGGUCGGUGCAGUCCCCAAGCUCUUAAAUUGGUGAGCUGGUCGACCAGUGCCCGAGCGUAUAGUGCUCGGUGGUCGGCACAGUCCCCGAGCACGGCGUAGGGACCGGUGGACAAGUCCCCGAGCGUGGUUGGGAACGUAAACGUGCUCGGUGGUCGGCACAGUCUUCGAGCAUAGCAUAGAGAGUAGUCGACAAGUCCCCGAGCGUGGUUGGGAACGUAAACGUGCUCGGUGGUCGGAGCAGUCCCCGGGCACAGCGUAGGGAAUAGUCGACGAGUCCCCGAGCGUAGCUUGUCGACUGGGCCAAACUCCUGAAAAAUAAAUAUAGAGAAAAUAGGUAGUACAUGAUGUAUAAAUAAACUCUAGAUAAAAAAUCAGCACUGAGAUAAGUUUUAGACUUUUUAUUAUAAAAUUAGCACGAGUAGUUAAUUCAUCCUAGAGCUUGUACCAGCUCUGGUCUAGCCAACAAUCAGCAUGAGGUGCGGGACCUAGACACGCGUGGGAUUGCCAGCCUCGCCAGAGAGCUACUGCCGACCACCCGGAACGCAGAGGGCGGAUCUCGUGCACGUGUAGGGAGGAGUCGGAGACAGUACCGGCUCUGGAAAGCUCGUGUAGGAGAAAAAACUAGUGUGGCUAAACAAAAAGUUGGUUUUGAAGGAUAAUAAAAAAUAGUAUGCCAAAAAUAAAUAAGAUAUUAGAAGUGUACUUAUCUUUGGAUGAAAGUCUGGUCGGUGACGACAAAAUUGUCUGGCCCUCGAGCUUUUGGACUUGUUAUCGUGACGGUGGUCGCGGUUGUCGUAGCGCCGUUCUUCGCGGCGAUUAUUAUUGCGACUGGUGGUCAGAGCAUGUAGGCCAAACAACUUGGUCGUUAGCCCGAGCAGAUCGAUGUCGUCGAUCUGCCUCUCUUUGUAGUAGGGAAGCAGGUGAUGCAUUGUCGGCGUGGUCGGAGACGCUGCUGGUGUGGUCGAAACCGUAGCCAGCGUGGUUGAAGCCGCCGCCGACGUCGAUGAAGAAGUGGUUGGCGCAGAUCGGAUCUACACCUCCUCCGUGGUCAUGGCGGUGAAGUUGUUGAGGCUGACGGUGAACGUGAAGUCGCCGCCAUGGCCGCGAAGUCGGGGAUGAUGGCCAUCUUGUUCGUCGGAAAAGUUGCACGCACACCCCCUACCUGGCGCGCCACUGUCGACGAAAGCUAGUCGGCAGUCUACCUUGGGGUAUACCCACGGUAGUAGUUUAUCGGUAGACGGUGCGCAAACUACGAACUUGAUGGUGACGCAAGACACGGACAAGCUUUUUAUCCAGGUUCGGCCGCCGAGUUGGCGUAAUACCUACGUCCUGCGUCUGGUUGUAUUGGAUUGUGUUGAGAGAUAAUGAUGUAUAUGACUUGUCCUCUAGGGGACCCCUGCCCCUCCUUAUAUAUCCUG